AACCCGACGCUGGCCCUGACCACACCGCGGGUACUGAAAGGCGCAGGCAAAUGACAUCAACGAUAGUGACGCCGGAACUAUGGCUCCUGCCGGCCAGAAACGCCAUCUUGGACUGUCAUUGGUCCAACUUGCUAGGCACAGACUUCUGGGUAAUGUAGUUUUAAUCCUGUAUCCAACCAGACGUUUGGCUCCUUUUUCGUUCUCCGUGUCAACAGCAAAGCGGCACGGCGCCAGGGGCAGGAGAAAAAGGAUCAAGAAACUAUGUCCUGAAGCGCCGAAGUUCUCUUACAGGGGACGCACCAAGAUUUCCAUGGUCACCAGGGACAAGGCCAGGAACUCAGAGGUCUCCAGCAGAUGCCCCAUUUUUUUUAAUCCUUCUGCUUCUGACACUCUGGGAGAGCUGCUUCACCUCUCUGAGCUUUGAGGACCGGGAUCCAAAUUGAAAGAAAGCUAUAAGUCGGAAUCGGCUCAACAGCAACAUAUUUUUUAAUGUUCUCCCCGAUACCGACUCACAGCGACCCCAUGUGUGCAGAGUAGACCUGAUCCAUUGGAUUUUCAAGGAUAUGACCUAUCAGAAGAAGAUUGCCAGGGCUGUCUUCCCAAGGGCCUCUGGAUGGGUUGAAUCACAAAUCUAUUGGCUGGUAGGUGCUUAUUCUUUGUGCCACUCAGGGACUCCUAGUAAUGUAAGUUCUUCUAAUUCAGUGGUUCCCAAAUGUUGGUCCCUGGUUUGGCAGUAUCAGCAUCUUCUAUGAACUUGAAAAUGCAAGUUCUGGGAUCCAACCUAGUCCAAGUGGCACAGACACCCUAGGGGUAGGACCCUAGCUCAAGUUUGGGCACUGAGCUCUCUUUCAAAGUUUAGUACUGAAAAAAUAAAAAAAAGGUCCUAUAACUAAAAUGGGAAAAUACCGUAACUUACUUGAUGGGAGGUGAGAUGAAAAGUGCUUAGCACAGGGCCUGGCGUAUAAAAAUAUAUAUAUAUAUAGAUACUGCAAAACACAUAAGAGCCAUUGUUGUUAUUAUCAUGUUUAUCACAAGAUUCUCACAUACAGUGGAGGGUAAGUCACAGAAGACACCUUUUAGCCAGGUUGCUGGUGAUAUUUUUUAAAACGUAAAAUACCAUAACUCCCUGACUCAGCCAGUAGCAUCAUAGUUGUUAAUUUUUUUGCCUAAAAGCACACCUUUAUACUCUUCAGUAUUUUAAAAAAUAUCACACGCAGCAGGAUAUCAUAAAUCACUGGUAAUUCUAUUGCCCAAGGGAUGCAGUCUUACAGGCCACAUACUUCAAAACUUGGGAGUAUCAGGACUAACUGCCUUCAGGCCUAAAUGGACAGUGAACUUAACAUGGUCUCGUGUCAUCCUUUAUUACAUAGGAUGACACAGCACUAAUUCAUGUCUAAUUCACAGGAACCAGGGCCUUAACACCAUCAUGUCUUCCCCUCUGGCCCUCAAAGCAGGCAGAUCCAGGUACAAAUAUGUGAUUAGGAGAUGGCUCAGCUCAGCCUGAUAUCCAUCUAGUGAUAGAUAGGAUCACUAGGUCCCGUCUUCAUCAAGCCACUAUCUUCCCAUCAUCUGAUCCUGCAGCUUCAAGGGAGCACCAAAUGCUGGGGAGAUGGGGAAAAUCGAGCCACUGAGCUCCAAGCAGACAAUCCCAGAAGGAACCAAAUGAGUAGGUAUAAAGAAGAAACAUUUUCACAAUCAUGUCUGCCCAUAUUCCAUAGGCAAAACUCAUUUGCAUGAUCCAAAAUGAAGUGUAAGGAAAGCUGGGCCAUGCUGUCCUCCUGAGUGUCCAGAAAAAUAAAAUAGUUUUGGUUAGCACCUAGCACCAUCUAUCAAUUUGAUCACUGGACCAAUUAUUAAUGAUGGAGUUGGAAUUAGUAAUGUGCCAGUAUCUUUUAACUCUUCUUCAGAUUACAUACUGCAAUGUGGUGCGACGCUUGCCUUGUUCAGAAGAUUCAGCUACCUUAGGUAAAUAAGUCACAUGAUAAUACUGAUUCUGAUGAUCAAAUGUAUUGGGAGACUGAGCUAAAGCCUUGUCAGGAUACAAUACCAUAGGAAAAUGACUGUCCUGAGGAAGAAGUGGGUUUAGCUAACCAUUAGCUAAUUUCUAUGCUAUAUAGCUCUACCAAGUUUUAUCAUAAGCUACAAAUAGUGGAGGAAGCACACAAUCGUAUCAGUACAAAAAUAUGAAAUGUAAUGGCUUUAGGAUGAAUGCACAGGAAAAAUUAAUUUCUUUACACCUAACUCUAUCCCACAUUGGCUUCUCCAAAUAUUAGGCAUAUUCAUACUGAUACUAUUGCUGUAUCUCAUAUGAAUGCUGUACUAAGUGUGGAUGCUCACAUAAAUAUGAUUGCUUUGCUUUACAUGAGCUUUGGCCAAAGGGCUGGGGCUGGCUUAUGCAAUAAAGCAUUACCCUUGCCCAAGGAAAAGUUUGAGCUUUUCUCCCCAGCUCCUGGGAGGUAAUCUAUAAGCUCUUGGAAUCCCCUGCCUGUUAAGAGUGUCUCUGUUUACCUGGAAGCCUUAGCCAUGCCAGACAGCCUAUACUAACAAUGUGAUUUAUGGUGCGAGACUUGGGCCAUGCAGUAUCAGCUGAACCUCUAGAGGGGCUGGAGACUAACAUAACCAAGCAGGACGGUCAACUGUAUCUACAUGAGCAAGACACCAACUCUCUGGUAGGCUUAAUGCAAUUUGUAUCAAAAUCCCACCAAAACGUUUUGUAUAUAGAUAAGCAUGUCCUAGAAUAUACAUGGAAAGCCAAAGGGCCUGUCGUUGUUGGGUGCCGUCAAGUCAGUUCUUACUCAUAACGACCCUGCGUACAACAGAAGGAAACACUGCCUUGUCCUGUGCCAUCCUCACGAUUGUUGCUAUGUCUUAGCCCAUUAUUGCACCUACUGUGUCAAUCCAUCUCACUGGGGGUCUUACUCUCUUUUGCUGACCCUGUGCUUUACCAAGCAUGAUGUCCUUCUCCAGGAAACUAGGAAAGUUAAAUCAAUCUUAAAAGAAGAUUAAAGAGGGGAGAAUCACAUUACCCAUUUUAAGAUUUACUAGGUAAUGAAGACACUGUGGUACUGACAGAGGUUCAGACACAUAUAUCAAUGGAAGAGUACAGAGACCUAAGAAAUACACCAACAUGAAUAUGCCCAACUGAUUUCUGACAAAGGGGCAACAGCAAUACAAUGGAGGCAGGAUAGUCUUUUCAACAAAUGGUGUCAGAACAACUGAAUAUCCCUAGACAAAAGAAAGAAGGAAAAACAGAGAGAGAAAGAAGCAAAUUCAACUUCAACCUCGCAGCAUAAUGGCAAAAAUUAAAAACCAUCAGAGAUUUAAAUGUAAAACAUAAAACAUUUAGAAGAAAGCAAACUUUGUGGCCUGGGGCAUGGUGAAGGAUUAUCACACAUUACACGAAAAAGACAUAAAACUUCCAUUCACAAAAUGACAAGCAUUAAAGCCAACACAAUAUGGAUUCUCACCACAAUCCUAAUGCAAGACUACACAUGUAGUUAUUUAAAAAGGCUCUGAGGGGCUUCACAGUGGGUAAAUGAUUAUUUUUAUAUCCAUCUGUACAACAUAUUUUUUUAACGUAAGGUAAUACUAUGACAUAUAGCUCAAAACCCAGGUUCAAAGAAAAUGCCAAAGGAGGAAUAGCAAAAUAAUGUGAUCAAUGACUGAUCACAGCAUGGUGAUAAUUGUGAAACUCACACAUACCUGCAUGUACACAUGCUGGUUUGCCUGUGGAAACUUACAUCACUUACAGCAAAUCUUCAACGAUCUUUCAUAAGAUUAAAUAUAAGCUUCCAUAAAGACUCAGCAAAUACAAAAUCAACAACAAUGAAAAAGAUGGAAAGCACAUAAAGUAAAACAACUCAGAACAGAAAAUUAAGAGGAACAAAGAAACGGUCAAUAACAUACACACAAAAAUAUAUCAAAACGACAGCACUAAACUCAUACCUAUCAAUAAUUAUGCUGAAUGUAAAUGGACUAAAUAGACCAAUAAAGAGACAGACAGUGGCAGAAUGGAUUAAAAAAAAAAAUGC